AAUAAUAAUUAAAAAAAAAAAACUCCAAAAUUUGUUUGAAUUGAACCUCAAUCAAACUCUGAAAAAACCCAUUCUCAAAUUGAAGCCCUAGCAUCUAGUGAGGGGUGUCCCAAGCUCGACAUUACUUAUGGUUGACUCGCAGUCUGCUAUCCCUCCUUUCAUCUUCUCCAAAUUUCUCACCAUAGUCUAUUUGGACAAUGCAAGGGAUGCACUUGCCCCUCUCCAUUUGGACUUGAUCAAUCUUAUCAUUGGCAAUGAUAUCUUCAAUGAUCUAAUUUCUGCUUCACAACUUCUUCCUUUCAUUAAUGCCCUUGUCACCAAGCUCAUCGAUGCACCUAUCUGACCUACCACACUAUAUUCAUCUUUUUAGGAAGACUUAUGGAGGCACUUGGAGGUAGGUGACUUGGCAAGUUGUGGGGAGGGCAGUGAGGGGUGGUUUAAAAGAUUUUCAAAUGGAGAGGAUGGACAGAAG
rnacentral:misc_RNA from 1 species